rnacentral:rRNA from 1 species
CGCCCGUAGUUGAGCCUCGCCGGGCGCGCACGGCUGCACGCGCGACGUGCGCUUUCUCCGGUUAUCUGGAUUGUUGUCCCCCAUUCGUGGGUGGCAUCGCCGGGUUACCCGGGGUUCAAGUGUCGUCGCGCUGCGUCGUGGUUUCCUGCGCCCGGUGCACGGGGCGGAGAGUGUUUCAAUACUCUCUCCGUUGCGUGCCGUUACCAUAAAGAAAUUGGAGUGUUCCAGGCAGGCGCACUGCGCCCUUGCACAGUCCAGUAUGGGAUAACAGCGGAUGACUUGCGCCCGUUUGUUGGUUUCCCGGGCAGUGGAGUAAUGGUCGAUAGGGGCGGUCGGGGGCAUUAGUACUGGGGCGGGAAAGGUUAAAUUUGAUGAUCGCCCCAAGACUGCCGAGGGCGAAAGCGCUUGCCAAGGACGCUUUCGUUGAUCAAGGACGAAAGCUGGGGGAGAGAAGGAGAUCAGACACCUCCGUAUUCCCAGCCGUAAACGAUGCCGACCAGGGCCCGGGGGCAUACCUUCGUUGUUUUGGUGGCCCCCGGGACCUCGCGAGAAAUCCGAGUAUUCAGGUUACGGGGGGAGUAUGGUCGCAAGGCAGAAACUUAAAGGAAUUGACGGAAGGGCACCACAAUUGGCGUGGAGCCUGCGGCUUAAUUGGAUUCAACGCCGUGAAACUUACCAGGCCCAGACCCGCUAGGGAUUGACAGACUGACAGAUCUUUCGUGAUUGCGGGAGUGGUGGUGCAUGGCCGUUCUCAGUUCGUGGGGUGACCCGUCUGCUUAAUUGCGAUAACGGACGAGACCUCUGCCUGCUAAAUAGGGGCGCCCAGGUCGUCUUUGGUUUGGGGGGUUCAUUCACCCCAAAUGUUGACCCUCUGGGCGGGCAAGCGCCCCGCACUCCCCUCCCUCUACCCUCUCUCUUUGUGGGGGGGUCAAGGGGGGGGGGAGUGUGUUCUUGGUUUGCGCGAGCCAUCUUUCAUUCAACCCCUUCUUAGAGGGACCGUUGCUGUAAGGCGCGAGGAAGCGCGAGGCAAUAACAGGUCUGUGAUGCCCUUAGAUGUCUCUGGGCCGCACGCGUGCUACAAUGGCGAGGACACUGUGUGCGCGCCGAACCCGGAAGGGGGAGGUACCCACUGCAAUCCUCGUCCCGGCUGGGAUUGACGCCUGGAACUAUUCGUCAUGAACCCGGAAUGCCUCGUA